rnacentral:rRNA from 1 species
CCUACGGGUGGCAGCAGUGAGGAAUAUUGGUCAAUGGACGAGAGUCUGAACCAGCCAAGUAGCGUGAAGGAUGACUGCCCUAUGGGUUGUAAACUUCUUUUAUAUGGGAAUAAAACGUUCCACGUGUGGGAUUUUGUAUGUACCAUAUGAAUAAGGAUCGGCUAACUCCGUGCCAGCAGCCGCGGUAAUACGGAGGAUCCGAGCGUUAUCCGGAUUUAUUGGGUUUAAAGGGAGCGUAGGUGGAUUGUUAAGUCAGUUGUGAAAGUUUGCGGCUCAACCGGAAAAUUGCAGUUGAAACUGGCAGUCUUGAGUACAGUAGAGGUGGGCGGAAUUCGGGGUGUAGCGGUGAAAUGCUUAGAUAUCACGAAGAACUCCGAUUGCGAAGGCAGUUCACUGGACUGCAACUGACACUGAGGCUCGAAAGUGUGGGUAUCAAACAGGAUUAGAUACCCCGGUAGUC